rnacentral:lncRNA from 1 species
AUGACAGCGGUAAACUGGCGGUACACUGGCGUUACUACUGCUGCGGUACACUGGCGUUACUGGUGCGGUGCACUGGCGUUACUACUGCUGCGGUACACUGGCGUUACUGGUGCGGUGCACUGGCGUUACUGCUGCGGUACACUGGCGUUACUACUGCUGCGGUACACUGGCGUUACUGGUGCGGUACACUGGCUUUACUGGUGCGGUGCACUGGCGUUACUGCUGCGGUACACUGGCGUUACUGCUGCGGUGCACUGGCGUUACUGCUGCGGUACACUGGCGUUACUGCUGCGGUACACUGGCGUUACUGCUGCGGUAAACUGGCGGUACACUGGCGUUACUACUGCUGCGGUACACUGGCGUUACUGGUGCGGUACACUGGCGUUACUGGUGCGGUGCACUGGCGUUACUGGUGCGGUACACUGGCGUUACUGGUGCGGUACACUGGCGUUACUGGUGCGGUACACUGGCGUUACUACUGGUGCGGUACACUGGCGUUACUACUGCUGCGGUACACUGGCGGUACACUGGCGUUACUGGUGUGGUACACUGGCGUUACUGGUGUGGUACACUGGCGUUACUGGUGCGGUACACUGGCGUUACUACUGCUGCGGUACACUGGCGUUACUACUGCUGCGGUACACUGGCGUUACUACUGCUGCGGUACACUGGCGUUACUGCUGCGGUACACUGCCGUUACUACUGCUGCGGUACACUGGCGUUACUGCUGCUGCGGUACACUGGCGUUACUACUGCUGCGGUACACUGCCGUUACUACUGCUGCGGUACACUGGCGUUACUACUGCUGCGGUACACUGGCGUUACUACUGCUGCGGUACACUGGCGUUACUACUGCUGCGGUACACUGGCGUUACUACUGCUGCGGUACACUGGCGUUACUGCUGCGGUACACUGGCGUUACUACUGCUGCGGUACACUGGCGUUACUACUGCUGCGGUACACUGGCGUUACUGCUGCGGUACACUGGCGUUACUACUGCUGCGGUACACUGGCGUUACUACUGCUGCGGUACACUGGCGUUACUGCUGCGGUACACUGGCGUUACUGCUGCGGUGCACUGGCGUUACUGCUGCGGUGCACUGGCGUUACUGCAGCGGUACACUGGUGUCACUGCAGCGAGGUGGAUGGAAGUAUUGA